AGCGAACGCUGGCGGCAAGCUUAACACAUGCAAGUCGAACGCCCAGCAAUGGGAGUGGUGGACGGGUGUAUAACACGUGGGAAUCUACCUUUCAGUACGGAAUAACUCAGGGAAACUUGUGCUAAUACCGUAUAAUGUCUCCGGACCAAAGAUUUAUCGCUGAAAGAUGAGCCCGCGGCAGAUUAGCUAGUUGGUGGGGUAAUGGCCUACCAAGGCAACGAUCUGUAGCUGGUCUGAGAGGAUGAUCAGCCACACUGGGACUGAGACACGGCCCAGACUCCUACGGGAGGCAGCAGUGGGGAAUAUUGGACAAUGGGCGCAAGCCUGAUCCAGCUAUGCCGCGUGAAUGAUGAAGGCCUUCGGGUUGUAAAGUUCUUUUAGGUGGGAAGAUUAUGACGGUACCACCAGAAAAAGCUCCGGCUAACUUCGUGCCAGCAGCCGCCGCAG
rnacentral:rRNA from 1 species